rnacentral:lncRNA from 1 species
UUCUAUCUCAUUUUUUCUUCUCUCUCUUUGUUUCUAUCUCUUGUAGUUGGGGUACCGUAUACCACCAACCUAUGCAAUAAUUUAAUAAAUAACUGGAUGCACAGCCUAUAGAAUAAAAAGGAGAAAAUGAGUGGGUUACACUUCUGCUGUUGGCAGCCAUCUUGAGUACCUAUUUGUACGAAACACUCUUAAGUGACUUUGCUUAUUCAUUAAUAAGUUAAUGCUAAUUAUUGGUGCAUACAAGUCGAGGAUUACCAUGUCUUGUGUCGCAUUUGGUUGCAAAAGCAAGUAUGCUGCUGGCGAUUCAAUUUCAUAUCAUCGUUUUCCGACCCAGGAUCCAGAGAGGUGCAGACAAUGGGUAAGGAAUCUCAAGCGAGAUGACUUUACUCUCAAAAAGUUUUCGAGAAUUUGUUCGGAACAUUUUACUCCGGAAUCCUUCAAUCGGACUCUGGACGUUGUAAGGCUGAGAGAAAAUGCUGUGCCUACUAUAUUCAAGGCAUUCCCUCCUCGCCUUCAGGAAGAAGUUGCAAGAACUCGUCGAAAACGCAAGUCUCCUACAAGGAGGUCCUCUUCUCCUCCUAAAAAAGGUCAAACCAACUCCUGGCCCCAAGAUAGAUCUUUCCCUCUUUGAGGCUAAGGAAAAUGUACAAUUAGAUCAUCCUUAUUCUCUUCCAUCAGCUCAAGUCAUUAAGCAGAAGCUCCAAUGGCAAACGAAUAUGAUUUCCGAGCUUGCAGACCGUUCUAAAAAAUAUAGAUGUCAACGGAAUAAAAUCUCCAAGAAGUUAGGAAACAUGGUUGAUGUUCUCAAAGACCUGAGAUCCAAAAGAAUGCUAUCAGAAGAGGCUUUAUCCAUUCUUGAUGUAAUGUCUGAUGUUCCUAAGAACCUUUUAAAAAGGAUGCAACUCGGAAGUGGUGUAAAGGGAAGUCGCAGUAGCUACUCUCCAGAGCUCCGAGCAUUUGCUUUGACAUUGUCAUUCUACUCGACAAAAGCAUAUAAUUAUGUAAGAAAGACCUUUGAUUUAUGCCUACCUAGUCUCAGUACCAUUCGAAACUGGUCAAAUAAUGUGUGAGAUGGCUCCAUUCAAUCAAUAUAAAAGUAACUUCAUUAACUUGCAAUGUGCCUAGUAGCCAUCAAACUAUGUUAAAAAAUCGCGGCUAAUUUGGAACCAGGCAAAGAGUUUCGGACAUACUUUUUUUCACCACCUGUGAUCGCGAGCAAAAAGUUGUAUCGGACACAUGUCACUGUCUAAAAUUAGUCAAAAAUACGUUUGCAUCUAUCAAAGUUAUGGUGGAUAAAGAUGGUAGAAGGGUCGACAUACAUAAUGGAUCAUAUGGAAUGAUUUUUCUUUGCUAUAUGAUCGCAUUUAGUGAAUAAUGAUAGCUCAACUUGAACAACUUUUUCCUCCAUUUAUAGGCGGCUGUUAGUCACACAUUAUGUUUCCGACGGCGGUGGAAAUUGCAUAAGACUCGAUGAUUCUCUUACACUCUUCAUUUCAUCGGGAAACAAGAAGACGGAAUCAGAAGUCAUAUCAUACCUGGAUGAUGAAGAUAUGCCUGAUAAAGAAAUAUGGCCUGGAAGAAAAGCAUUUACUUUUCCAAGACCACUAUUAUUACGAUGUGCCUUCUUUUGUGCAAACCCAUACACAAUUCAAAGAAUUCGUGGUUGCUCACAUCAGUGGAUAUGUAGUGAGUUCAGUUUCCAAGUACUUAGUAUGCCGUGAGUGCUUGGAAGCUUAUUUACUGUCAUAGUCCAUGUAAUUACUGCAAUUCUUUAACUUUGAGGAAAUACAAUGACUCCUUCAUCCAUCAAAAAGUGUAUUUGAAAUAUGUAUAGAAACUGAAAAAUGUCUCUUGAGACUCAAAAUUCAAGGAAUUCUCAAGACCAUAGCUUCUGUGAUACAAACCACUAUACCAGCCUUGUCUUACAAAUAUACAAUUAUAAAUCCUAGAUAUUUAAGGAACUUGAAUCUCAUAGUCUUGACAGCUCACCAUUAAAUAACCAUAUCCUUAAUUUACAAAAACGUAUUAUCUUUAAAUAUUCUAAAAUUAGGCUUCAUCAUGAAGCCAGCCUCAUUUCUGAGCAUUUAAAAAAAUAAUUUAUACGAAAGUCUCUUUCGAAACAGAUUCUUUUUAAGAAUCAAUGAUUCUAAAGUCUUCAAUGUCAUGUGUAUAUUAUAUUUGUAUUUUCUAAAAUAAAUAGUAGCAAAGAU